rnacentral:rRNA from 1 species
GUGCCAGCCGCCGCGGUAAUACGGGGGGUGCAAGCGUUAAUCGGAUUUACUGGGCGUAAAGAGCUCGUAGGCGGCGAGUUAAGUUGGAUGUGAAAGCCCCGGGCUUAACCUGGGAACUGCAUUCAAAACUGGCUGGCUAGAGUAAGGGAGAGGAGAGUGGAAUUUCCGGUGUAGCGGUGAAAUGCAUAGAUAUCGGAAGGAACAUCAGUGGCGAAGGCGACUCUCUGGCCUAUUACUGACGCUGAGGAGCGAAAGCGUGGGGAGCAAACAGGAUUAGAAACCCGUGUAGUCC